rnacentral:rRNA from 1 species
CGCUGGCGGCGUGCCUAAUACAUGCAAGUCGAACGGCUUUUCUAUGGAAGCUUGCUUCCACUGAGAAGAUAGUGGCGAACGGGUGAGUAACACGUGGGUAACCUGCCCAUAAGAGGGGGGAUAACAUCCGGAAACGGGUGCUAAUACCGCAUAGUUUUCUUGAUCGCAUGAUUGGGAAAGGAAAGACGGCCUUUGCGCUGUCGCUUAUGGAUGGACCCGCGGCGUAUUAGUUAGUUGGUGAGGUAACGGCUCACCAAGACGAUGAUACGUAGCCGACCUGAGAGGGUGAUCGGCCACAUUGGGACUGAGACACGGCCCAAACUCCUACGGGAGGCAGCAGUAGGGAAUCUUCCGCAAUGGACGAAAGUCUGACGGAGCAACGCCGCGUGAGUGAAGAAGGUUUUCGGAAUCGUAAAACUCUGUUGUCAGAGAAGAACAAGUUGGAGAGUAACUGCUCCAGCCUUGACGGUAUCUGACCAGAAAGCCACGGCUAACUACGUGCCAGCAGCAGC